rnacentral:rRNA from 1 species
UACGGAGGGUGCAAGCGUUGUCCGGAAUUAUUGGGCGUAAAGAGUUCGUAGGCGGUUUGUCGCGUCCGUUGUGAAAGCUUGGGGCUCAACCCCAAGUCUGCAGUGGAUACGGGCAGACUAGAGUCAGGUAGGGGAGAACGGAAUUCCUGGUGUGAGCGGUGAAAUGCGCAGAUAUCAGGAGGAACACCCGGUGGCGAAGGCGGUCUCUCG